rnacentral:tRNA from 1 species
GGGGAUGUAGUUCAGUGGUAAGAAUGCUUGCUUGCCUAGCAUGUGCAACAUGCAGGGUUUCAUCCUCA